AGGAAAUGCUGUCACCGCCGUUAACACGCACGUGGAGGUAGUCAGAAUCUAGUUCCUCAUCAACAGCAGCCAUCGCCGAAGCCACAGAGGAGCAGAUAGCUGUGCAACGCCGCGUCUAGGCAGGGAAUGCAGAACUGAGAAAUGGGGAGCCUGCCAUUGUCCACUCCAGCUUUGACCUGGCUGAGACAGCCGUGGGUCAAGGCUUCUCUGUGAUCCUGGUUUCCAUCAACAACAGCAAGGGAAGCCGCAAGAGCCAUCUAGGCAGGCACCCCAGGAUGUGCCAGGCCUGCAUCAUCAGCACCAGCCAGAGGACCCGUCACCAGGUCACCCGGCAGCCCCAGCUUAUGACACGGGAGCUGCUCCACCUACCUAGGGAGUCCAGGGCCUGCUCCUCUGCUUCCGGCCAUCGCAUCCUUGCCCGCAUAACCACUAUUGCUCGCCCAUCAAGGUGGUCGGUGCCAUCAAAGUUACCAGGCAGAACGUCCUAGGGGCAUGCAUCUGUGGGGGAGGGGUGGCUGCAAGCCCUGUUCACCUGUCUCCUGCAAAGGGGCAGAACCAGGAAGGGAACUUGAGCCUGGGACACAGACCAUCCCUUUGGCCAGGGGCUGCCCCACCAGCUUUGGCCAGUGCCCACUCCAUUUGGAUAAUCUCUUGGGCAACUGGUUAGACUCUGUUUUGCCAUUGUGACGCUGUGAACUGGGGAAGGGAAGCCUUCAGGUAGGGGGCCCUCUGCGUGGAGAUGUUACUGGCCAGGGAAGCUUGACAGUUACUGGCCCUGCAGUAUUUUUGAACAUUUAAAGAUAGGGAACUUUCACACAAAAUUUCCCAUUUCUAGCUUCUCUUACAAAAAUCACACAAACUCUGGCAUUUCACACAGCACCAACUGGCCAAAGCCGUAUGGAGGCAGCCCUCGCAUGGGGCCACAUGUCUGGUUUUGCAGACAUACUCUGCUGCUUGACCUCACAAACCUGUCCUAACAGCUCACCCCCCACCCCCCAAAUUUUAGAUCUACAGAAUUUGCUAAAACCAAAAUCAGCCCACUGCCCUCUUUGGAGUGCCAGGGUAGCAGAGAGGAAAAGAGGUUGCAGAGGGUCCUCUUGGGUAGAGCUAGGCUCCCAGCUUGACCCUCUGCCCAGAAUAGAUCUUGGCCAUUAGGAGACUGUCUUCUCCAGAUUCUUUAGCUUUCUGGAAGUGACUGAGCCAAGGUCCCUUUGGCUCUCUUUUAAGGUUCUUACCGAUGGGCUCUGUGGCCAAAGCUUUCUUCUAGGACCUGGAGAGCUGAAAGGAGGAAUUAGCUGGCUGGUACGGAAGGCACGGCUGUGACUUGACUCGGGCCAGUGUGCCUGCUUUGAUGGGAUGAAACUGCCCCCUGGAGGCCCCUCCAGGCCCAUGCCAGCGCCACCACCAGGUCCUUUCAGGCUUUGGCUUGGCUUUGUCAGGAGGGCAAGGUUCUGCCUUGGUCCCAGAGUGGGUGGCUCUGAGACCAGGGUAGAGCUCCUCCCCGGAAGCCCCUCCCAGGGCUCUCUGAGGUUUAAAAAAAAAAAAAAAAAAAAGCUGCACUGCCGAGUUGCAGAUUUUGCCUCAGGCAACUAAAUUUAUUAGCAAGAAAAAAUUUUUGUCAGCCCAGUGCUGACCAACAAAGUACAUUGUUAAUAAAGGAUAACAAAUCUGUCACUUCAUUCAUAAAACAUACCUCAAGCAGUUACAACUAAAAAUAAAGUUGGAUUUUUGUUUAAUUUAAAAGCCUCAAAAA